GGGGAAUAUUGGACAAUGGGCGAAAGCCUGAUCCAGCAAUGCCGCGUGAGUGAUGAAGGCCUUAGGGUUGUAAAGCUCUUUUACCAGGGAUGAUAAUGACAGUACCUGGAGAAUAAGCUCCGGCUAACUCCGUGCCAGCAGCCGCGGUAAUACGGAGGGAGCUAGCGUUGUUCGGAAUUACUGGGCGUAAAGCGCGCGUAGGCGGUUUAUCAAGUCAGGGGUGAAAUCCCGGGGCUCAACCCCGGAACUGCCCUUGAAACUGGUUCACUAGAAUCCUGGAGAGGCUAGUGGAAUUCCGAGUGUAGAGGUGAAAUUCGUAGAUAUUCGGAAGAACACCAGUGGCGAAGGCGACUCGCUGGACAGGUAUUGACGCUGAGGUGCGAAAGCGUGGGGAGCAAACA
rnacentral:rRNA from 1 species